UUCUCAACCCUUGUUAUCAAAUAAUGAUAAUGAUAGAUUUCCUGAAUUGCAGUUGAAAACAAAUUUAACUUGUUAUCAAUUUAACAUUUUUAGAGAUGAUCAUGAGAUCUUAAAACUAUUGUUUUAAAAUUUAAAAACUCUGCAGGCCUACUGUAGUAAAAGGAACUAAAUUUUAAGUUUAAAUUAAGAAAUAAUGCUGCAUUGUGAUAUAUUCAAAAUACUCUUUCAUUUUAUAUGUAUUGAAAAUAAUGUUAAUAUUAAAGUAUAUACUGUAUACAUAAUUUUCAGGACACAUAGAUAUUUAAUCUAUUUGCUGGUGAAUGUACUAAACUAUUGUUGGAAAUGAGGCAAAAUGUGUGACAUCUAUGUUCUAUUGAGCAGUAAAAAAGAGGAUCAAUUUGUAUUAUCUGUACAGUAUUGGUCAAGAUAAAGAAAAAAUUCAUUUGGGAUGGCAUGUGAGAAGUCAAUGACUUGUCUAUGUUUGACAGUAUGCCAAAGGUGAAUUAGUGAAAAAGCUGAAUACUGCAGUGGCAGAUUCAAUAGUAUUUUUACUUGAUUGUAAAACAAGUUUUGCAAGUUUAUAAAUCACUUUCUACUCAAUAACUGGAGGCAUAAGAGUAAACAUGAUUGAUGUUACCUUGUUUGGCUCAAACCCACAAACUGGAUGAGAACUUUGCAAGACUAGGUUGCCAAGUACAAAGACAUAAGUUAGCUGUCAUUUGUGACUUUCCAUGUGUUUGCAAGAAUAUGGUUUUAAUAUCUGUAGAUGUUUCUAAAUUCAAAAUUUCACUGUUCUCAUAUUUAAAUGUUGAAUUCCGCUUAAGCAGGUGCUAGGGGGUUGGGUGGUAACUUACACUUUCCAUUACCGUCCAUGAACAAACUCAAUAAAACCGAGCCUGAAACAUUGUCAAUUUUGUUGUUCUUGGCAUUCUUUGGGGAUUCUGUUCGUCUAUAUUUAAUAAUUGUUUAUAGAAAUUAUUUCAAUUAAAGAAUAUACUAAU